rnacentral:tRNA from 2 species
UGUAAAUAUAGUUUAAAAAGAACACUAGAUUGUGAAUCUAGUAAUAAGAGAUCAAGCCUCUUUAUUUACC